GCCGUGUUUCGAGUUACUCCGGAACACAGUGUUUAUUCUGUGUUUAGUCACGCCGCGUCAAAAAUGUUCCACAGGGUUACUUCCGGUUUAUCGUUGUUUACCAACAGUCGACACUUCGUGUAUUAGGCCUAGGCUUAAUUUUGUCGAUCAUCAUGAAAUUGAAAUACAAAUUUAAUAGUUUGGGGUGUAUGCGGUACAUAUUUGUUUAUGAGCGUUUGAUAAGCUACUAUUGAUCUACGAAAUACAACGAAAGACUUCGUCAAGAACAGAAGAAGACGAUGCAUGUCGUGUAACUCACACAAGGCCCAGCUGUCUAGUAACCGGAGGGGUAAAGGAAAAGAACGUAUUAGACUCACUGAAACCUGUCAAACAGGUAUAUGGGAACAGGAUCAUUUUCCAUGCCUUUCACUUGAGGUCUUCAGUUUCAUCAUUAAUCAUCUGAAUGUCGGUAUGCCAAACUCUCAUGAUGUCAUGCCAUUACUGGAUAUUCCUUAACACUGGUUUAUUUAAGCCACACUACCUAUAACAUUGCCAAAAUAUUAGACUGAAAAUUUUCAAAUACACAAGAUUUGAAGCAGCAAAAGAAAAGAAUUACAUAUGUAUAACACACAAAAAAGAAGAAAUUAAUUCUCACCUGGCUGAUAUGAACUUUUUACUCCUUUUUAGCUCCCUUUCACUGCAUACCAGCCAAUAACUAGCAGUCAUUAUAUGCAGAUCAGCCAUUGUUAUCAACCUGUGUAUAUAUAUGUUGAAUGAAAUAUGAAUGAAAA